GUGCUCUAUUCAGCAGCACAGAUACUAAAAUUGGAAUGAUGCAGAGAAGAUUAGCAUCCCCUGAGCAAGGAUGCCACACUUGUGAAAUGAAAUGCCCAAAUUUAUA
ensembl:snRNA U6 U6 spliceosomal RNA